rfam:Triticum urartu cultivar G1812 contig865653, whole genome shotgun sequence.
CAACUACUCCCUCUAUCCCAAAUUUUUGUCUUAGAUUUGUCUAGAUACGGAUGUAUCUAAUACUAAAAUGUGACUUGAUACAUCCGUAUCUAGACAAAUCAAAAACAAGAUUUUUGGGACGGAGGGAGUACUUU